GACGAACGCUGGCGGCGUGCUUAACACAUGCAAGUCGAACGGAAAGGCCCUGCUUUUGUGGGGUGCUCGAGUGGCGAACGGGUGAGUAACACGUGAGUAACCUGCCCUUGACUUUGGGAUAACUUCAGGAAACUGGGGCUAAUACCGGAUAGGAGCUCCUGCUGCAUGGUGGGGGUUGGAAAGUUUCGGCGGUUGGGGAUGGACUCGCGGCUUAUCAGCUUGUUGGUGGGGUAGUGGCUUACCAAGGCUUUGACGGGUAGCCGGCCUGAGAGGGUGACCGGCCACAUUGGGACUGAGAUACGGCCCAGACUCCUACGGGAGGCAGCAGUGGGGAAUAUUGAACAAUGGGCGGAAGCCUGAUGCAGAAACGCCGCGUGCGGGAUGACGGCCUUCGGGUUGUAAACCGCUUUCGCCUGUGACGAAGCGUGAGUGACGGUAAUGGGUAAAGAAGCACCGGCUAACUACGUG
rnacentral:rRNA from 1 species